UUACGGACAUAUCAGGUAAAAACAUCCUCUCUCGUACGAUCACCGAAUUUAAGCAACGCUGAGCUAAGUCAGUACACAGAUGGGUGACCGCUUGGCAAUACCAGAUGCUGUAG